rfam:Microbacterium chocolatum strain SIT 101 genomic scaffold Scaffold8, whole genome shotgun sequence.
ACACGUGACACGGGGUGCCCCACGGGGCUGAGAUGACACCCGUCGAACCUGAUCUAGUUCGUACUAGCGAAGGGAUGUCGCGCAUGACGCGC